rfam:Zunongwangia profunda SM-A87, complete genome.
GCGUUAUCAAGAAAGGUUGAGGGAUUAGACCCGGUGAAACCUUAGCAACCCUCUGUGUAUUAUAGAGAAGGUGCUACCUUCUACUACGUUUUUUUCGUAGAUAGAUAACAU